rnacentral:tRNA from 1 species
GCCUGGGUGGCUCAGUGGUUGAGCGCCUGCCUUCGGCCCAGUGCAUGAUCCUCAAGUCCUGGGAUCAAGUCCCACAUCAGGCU